CAGGACGAACGCUGGCGGCGUGCCUAAUACAUGCAAGUCGAACGGCUUUUCUAUGGAAGCUUGCUUCCACUGAGAAGAUAGUGGCGAACGGGUGAGUAACAACGUGGGUAACCUGCCCAUAAGAGGGGGAUAACAUCCGGAAACGGGUGCUAAUACCGCAUAGUUUUCUUGAUUGCAUGAUUGAGAAAGGAAAGACGGCCUUUGUGCUGUCGCUUAUGGAUGGACCCGCGGCGUAUUAGUUAGUUGGUGAGGUAACGGCUCACCAAGACGAUGAUACGUAGCCGACCUGAGAGGGUGAUCGGCCACAUUGGGACUGAGACACGGCCCAAACUCCUACGGGAGGCAGCAGUAGGGAAUCUUCCGCAAUGGACGAAAGUCUGACGGAGCAACGCCGCGUGAGUGAAAGAAGGUUUUCGGAUCGUAAAACUCUGUUGUCAGAGAAGAACAAGUUGGAGAGUAACUGCUCCAGCCUUGACGGUAUCUGACCAGAAAGCCACGGCUAACUACGUGCCAGCCGCCGC
rnacentral:rRNA from 1 species